UACGUAGGGGGCAAGCGUUAUCCGGAAUUACUGGCGUAAAGCGCACGCAGGCGGUCUGUUAAGUUUGGAGUGACAGUUGGUGGCUUAACUGCCAAAGUGCUUCGAAAACUGAUCGACUUGAGGGCUUCAGAGGGACACGGAAUUCCGGGUGGAGUGGUGAAAUGCGUAGAGAUCCGGAGGAACACCGAAGGCGAAGGCAGUGUCCUGGGGAGUACCUGACGCUCAGGUGCGAAGCCAGGGGAGCGAACGGG
rnacentral:rRNA from 1 species